rnacentral:lncRNA from 10 species
CUGGAAUGUUGAUGAACACCAGGACAUCAACUGGGAGUGGCCCAGAAGCCCGAAGCUGAGAGGACAAAGCUCACUGGGGAAAAGAGAGUGGAGGGGCUGCUGCCCCAGGAAGGCUGGGCCCACCCCUCCUCACAGGCACCCUGAUGCCUGUUCAGCUUGGCUCUCUGGAUGACAGGCAGAAGCCCCAGUUGCUUCUCUUCUCCACGGUGAUUUCUGCAUACUUUAUCCAAACCCCCUCCCCACCGCUGUUCAGUUUCUGGCUCCUCUUCCUGCCCGUGCUCUGAGGCCAGCUGGGGGCCUCCCAGGUGACUCCUGCUGCUGCUGUCACUGGACCCUGACGCUGUGCCGCACCCGAAUUCCUCCGAAUGGAGCCUUGGCCAGAGCAAGGCGUGCCGUGUAGAGGAGCGGAUCUGAGCCUGGCAGGAGAUCGCUAAAACCUUUGCCCUUCACACAAACGCGGAAGCACGGGGCGGGUGCUGAAGAGCCAAGCAAGUGUCCCCCAUUUCCUUCCAAGGCAGAGCAGCAGCCCAGGGAGGCCCAGUUUCCAUCGCGGCAGAAGGGCAGAAGAGUGGGGGAGGUCCCAGGACCACAGCCCAGGGGACACUCAGGAUGCGCCAGGAAGGACAUGGCAGACAGGCCCUUUAGGUGGAAAAGCAACCCUCAGCUGCCCAGAGAGCGGCCCCUCCAGGCCCUCCCCGCCGUCUGCAAAGCUCUUCAGCUGGGAGAGGAGGAAAGGGUUUGUUCUUGACCUCCUUCCUUUCCUUUCUUCUCCACUGUCCACCAGAGAGCAGGAAGACAGGCUGAUGCUCUUGUUAAAGAUGAAGGCAUAAUUCACAUGCCAUAAAAUUCACCAUUUUAACCAUUUUAAGGUGCACAGUUCAGUGGUUUUGAGUGCAUUACAUUGUUGGGCAACCAUCAGCAUGGUCUAAUUCCAAAACAUUUCUGUCACUCCAAAAAGAAAUCUUGUACCCAUUAGCAGUCACUCCCCAUUUCCCCCUACCCCCCAGCCCCCCGGCACCCACGAAGGUGCUUUCUCUGUUUCGAGGGAUCUUCCUAUUGUGGCAAAUCCUCUGAAUGGAAUCAUACAAUAUGUGGUCUUCUGCCACUGGCUUCUUUCACUGACCAUAAUUUUUCAAGGUUCACCCACGUUGUAGCAUGCGUCAGCGCUUCAUUCCUUUCCAUGGCUGGACUGUAUUUCAUUGUAUGUCUGGACCACAUUCUGUUUCUCUAGUCAUCAGUUGAUUACUUACUUUUCAGGGCCCACUUAGCCUUUCUUCCCAAGGGCAGGGGCUCUGUUGUCCACUGUUUUGGAGUCUUCCAGCAGACUUGAUGGAGUGUACCAGUGGUUUCCUUGCUGGGCAAAUAACCAGAGGGUCCCUGGGUACGGGAAUCUCUGAGUCCUGAUCUUUGGCUCUGCUGCAGACCAGGUCACUGUAUGAUCUUUUAGCAGCCUCUUUACCUCACCUGGCCUCAGUUUCUUCAUCUGAAAAAUGAAGGGCUUGAAGCAGAUGGUCUCUAACACUUCUCCUGGCCCAACACUUUAAGAUGUUUCAGCAAAGCAGUGAAGAAGCAGCCUUCUGUGACCUUUCUGAACAAGGCAGAGGAAAGCAAGCUGUAGGCUGACAUAGUUAGGUGAUUCCAUAACAAAAUUGCGCUGUAAACAAUCAUCUGGAUCAAUCGACAGAAGGCACUUGCAACAGGUUCCCAGAUGACAGAAAACUAUAGGAAUGACAGGGAAGGAAUGAUGGGGCAGAUUAAAAUGGAGAAAUUUAACAGGGACAAAUGUAAAAGUCGGACAUUUUGCUCCAAAGUUCAACAGAACAGCUACCUGCUUUGUUGGAUAUGUUCAGGCAGUGUCCUUUAUAAGAGUUUGAUUGACUCUAAAUGAAUCUCAUUAUGAGUCACCAUUGGGACAGGCUGCCAAAAGGCCAAUGUGACUUCAGAUUAAAUCAAUAGAGGUCUACUGGCUGAAACAAGGGAGGUGACAUUAUUGAGUCCAUCCCUGGUGUAUGUAGCUGCUACCCUCUGAGAAGGAGGCCCCCAAUAGGAAAAGCCAGAGGGAGGAUGGAUAAGACAUGAAGAGCUCUAGAACCAUGGUUUGGUAGUAGGAGGGGCUCAGGGUUUGGGUCUUUAAAAGAUAAGACAGAGAGUGCUGUUCACAUCUGUGAAGGAACAUGGCAUGAGAAGGGGAGUUGACUUCCACCAUGGGGACCUGCAGGGUGACUGGGGCUGGAAGAUGAUCAAUUGUGACCCAGGACCAGGAAGAACUUCGCAGCAACAAAAGUCACAGGAAAUGGAAAAAACUCCUGGUGAAGAACACAG